rnacentral:rRNA from 1 species
CUCAAAGAUUAAGCCAUGCAUGUGUAAGUUUAACCUGCCAGACAGGGAAACUGCGUACGGCUCAUUACACCAGCUAUAAUUUACUUGACCUUGACUUCUUACUUGGAUAACUGUGGUAAUUCUAGAGCUAAUACAUGCACCAAAGCUCCAAUCUCCCCAGAGCGGAGCGCAUUUGUUCGCCACAAAACCAAGCGCCCUCCGGGCGUCCAGUGUUGACUCAGAACAACUAAGCUGAUCGCACGGUCUUGUACCGGCGACGUGUCUUUCAAGUGUCUGCCUUAUCAACUUUCGAUGGUAGUGUAUCUGACUACCAUGGUGAUGACGGGUAACGGAGGAUAAGGGUUCGACUCCGGAGAAGGGGCCUGAGAAAUGGCCACUACGUCUAAGGAUGGCAGCAGGCGCGCAAAUUACCCACUCUCAACGCGAGGAGGUAGUGACGAGAAAUAACGAGACCGAUCUCUUAUGAGGCCGGUCAUCGGAAUGGGUACAAUUUAAACCCUUUAACGAGUAUCUAUGAGAGGGCAAGUCUGGUGCCAGCAGCCGCGGUAAUUCCAGCUCUCAAAAUGCAUAGAAUUAUUGCUGCGGUUAAAAAGCUCGUAGUUGGAUCUGUGCUAGCCGUCCGGUGCACACUUUGUGUGUUACUGGUUUGGUUGGCUUUUCUACCGGUCUUUCCCCGGCGUUGGCCUUUACCGGUCGGCGUCGGUGGGCUGGCGAGUUUACUGGCCUUUACCGGUCGGCGUCGGUGGGCUGGCGAGUUUACUUUGAACAAAUCAGAGUGCUUCAAACAGGCGUUUCGCUUGAAUGUUCGUGCAUGGAAUAAUAGAAGAGGAUUUCGGUCCGAUUUUAUUGGUUUUGCUGACCGAGAUAAUGGUUAACAGAGACAAACGGGGCCAUUCGUAUUGCUACGUGAGAGGUGAAAUUCUUGGACCGUAGCAAGACGGACUACAGCGAAAGCAUUUGGCAAGAAUGUCUUCAUUAAUCAAGAACGAAAGUCAGAGGUUCGAAGGCGAUCAGAUACCGCCCUAGUUCUGACCGUAAA